ACUAGGAGUAACCACUGGGAAGGAAGUAAUGUUCAUUAAGUGUGCAGGCAGUGCAGGACUAAGCAUGCUCAGUGAAAAAGCUUUUCUCCCUUGCCUGUCAAGCCCUGUGUUUGAACUCAUUCCAGAAUGCCGGAUUUACUUUUCACGAAGAAGCAGUACCUGGCCAGACCGCAUUUUUCUCGCUCUCCUUGGUCAUGGGAAGAUUGGAAACAAUAUUCUUUUGAUGCUCAGUGCACUCAGCCUGCGUGCGUGUGCGGCUGUGGCAGUGGAGGAGGAGGACAAACUUUGCUACCUGUGAGACGAAGGCUGGUAGCACUGGAAAUGAAAAGAGUUCCAUUUACGAUGUUGUUCUCAGGCUCUGUAAAUGAAUGCCUUGAUGACUUCAUUGGGAAUUCCUCAUGGACAAGAAGGAGAAAGGGUCAUCUGAGUUCUCCUGAAGAUGGGAGGCAGGGCUAGACAGGCCCCAGCAACGUUCCUAAGGCACAGAAUGUCACCUGCUGCCUCUUCUCCUCCUACAGCUCCACACCGAGGUUCAGUUUACAGGGCUGUCAGUGAGCUGGAAUUUGCACUGUCCUCAGCUGCCCAAUGAGCGUAUGCUCAAAGUCCUCAUGGACACUGGUGGACACCGGCCCAGCAAACUCCUCCUGGACCCAUUGACCACAGCAGAGCAUCCCAGAAGGUCACUGAGAAUUUGUUCCAACAAUAUCAGUGGAGAUUUUAAGAAGAGAAGUUCACAAAAAUUCCUCUGCACAAAGCCUGGGAGAGGAGGAGGACCCCCAUUCUGCUGGCACUGCUUGAGCUCUGUUUUGGUGGUCAGGUAUUUCCCACUGCAGAAGUGGAAGGGGCUGAGAACAGAACUGGAAUAAUAUUUUCCUUUGCUCCGAGGGCAGAGACAGAGGGGUUAUUCACUCUGAUAUGCAUCCAAGUUGUGUCUGUUUGCACAUAUUAACUGGCUAUGGUUGUUAUUUUAGGUCGGUGCUGUCUUCAGAUAUAAAAUGGUAAUUUAUAUAUAGAUGGAAGGCAUAACAGUGUCUGUGGGAAUGAGCAGAUCCUGGUUCCUGCCGAGUGAUAGCAGCCUCACCAUUUGUAGCCCUGACUCCUGCCACAUGAAGUGCUCUUACCAGCACUCCUGCGUGUCUCACCCUUAUUAUACACUGUAUUAGUGCUGGUGGAAUUGGGCCCACAACAUUAUGUCACAAAAUAGAAAACACACGACCCUGCACCAGCUGUAAUAGCGUAAUAGGAUAAGUGCAAGGGAGGAACAGCAGGAUAUAAUAGGUACUCGGCUGCUUCAGAGAUGGGGCACGUGUAUUUACCUAGAUAGAAGAAAACUGGAAAACUAGGGCAGCCUAAGAAUGGAGCGACAGUGUAAGUGCUCCAGGAGGUGGUUGUUGGUGAAUUGAAAAUGCAGCAAUCUGGGCUGUUAUAUAAUAAAUAAUAACAAUAAUAUCCAUGCUUGGUCCUGUUCAUCCUUCACCCAGCUGCUUUGCAGAGCUACAAGUAGCACUGGGGCCUCUUUGGUAUUGGUUUUCCUAA